ACGUAGGAGGCGAGCGUUAUCCGGAUUUACUGGGUGUAAAGCGCGUGCAGGCGGUUUAGCAAGUCGUGCGUGAAAGCUCCCAGGCUUAACCGGGAGAGGACGUGCGAGACUGUCGGACUAGAGGCAGGUAGAGGCAAGUGGAAUUCCGGGUGUAGUGGUGAAAUGCGUAGAUAUCACACGGAACGCCGGUGGUGAAAACGGGUCACUGGGCCUGUCCUGACGCUGAGACGCGACAGCACGGGGAGCGAACGG
rnacentral:rRNA from 1 species